UACGGAAGGUCCGGGCGUUAUCCGGAUUUAUUGGGUUUAAAGGGAGCGUAGGCUGGAGAUUAAGCGUGUUGUGAAAUGUAGACGCUCAACGUCUGCACUGCAGCGCGAACUGGUUUCCUUGAGUACGCACAAAGUGGGCGGAAUUCGUGGUGUAGCGGUGAAAUGCUUAGAUAUCACGAAGAACUCCGAUUGCGAAGGCAGUUCACUGGAGCGCAACUGACGCUGAAGCUCGAAAGUGCGGGUAUCGAACAGG
rnacentral:rRNA from 1 species